UCAAACUUGGUCAUUUAGAGGAAGUAAAAGUCGUAACAAGGUUUCCGUAGAUGAAUCUGCGGAAGGAUCAUUACCAAUAGUGGCUGCUUAUUGGCGCCGCGCGCUUUGCGCGCCCGCCUUUAUAUGCACCACGCCAAUCCUCCGUCAACCUGUUGCACUUGUUUGCGAGUCGUGCGUGAGGUCAGCCACCCCAAAAGGCUUGGCUGGCCCCCGCGCACGCUUCUCAUUCAAUACGCGCAUCAGCGACACACACAACUCAACACAGUUGAACAUACAACACAAAAAACACAACUUUCAACAAUGGAUCUCUUGGCUCUCGCAUCGAUGAAGAACGCAGC
rnacentral:misc_RNA from 1 species